rnacentral:rRNA from 1 species
UACGUAGGGCGCAAGCGUUGUCCGGAAUUAUUGGGCGUAAAGAGCUCGUAGGCGGUCUGUUACGUCCGCUGUGAAAACCCGGGGCUUAACCCCGGGCUUGCAGUGGAUACGGGUAGACUAGAGGCAGGUAGGGGAGAAUGGAAUUCCCGGUGUAGCGGUGAAAUGCGCAGAUAUCGGGAGGAACACCGGUGGCGAAGGCGGUUCUCUGGGCCUGACCUGACGCUGAGGAGCGAAAGCGUGGGGAGCGAACAGG